rnacentral:rRNA from 1 species
GACGAACGCUGGCGGCGUGCUUAACACAUGCAAGUCGAACGGAAAGGCCCUGCUUUUGUGGGGUGCUCGAGUGGCGAACGGGUGAGUAACACGUGAGUAACCUGCCCUUGACUUUGGGAUAACUUCAGGAAACUGGGGCUAAUACCGGCUAGGAGCUCCUGCUGCAUGGUGGGGGUUGGAAAGUUUCGGCGGUUGGGGAUGGACUCGCGGCUUAUCAGCUUGUUGGUGGGGUAGUGGCUUACCAAGGCUUUGACGGGUAGCCGGCCUGAGAGGGUGACCGGCCACAUUGGGACUGAGAUACGGCCCAGACUCCUACGGGAGGCAGCAGUGGGGAAUGUUGCACAAUGGGCGGAAGCCCGAUGCAGCCACGCCGCGUGCGGGAUGCCGGCCUUCGGGUUGUAAACCGCUUUCGCAUGUGACGAAGAGUGAGUGACGGUAAUGGGUAAAGAAGCACCGGCUAACUACGUG